rnacentral:rRNA from 1 species
GGGUUGUGAGGUUAAGCGACUAAGCGUACACGGUGGAUGCCCUGGCAGUCAGAGGCGAUGAAGGACGUGCUAAUCUGCGAAAAGCGUCGGUAAGGUGAUAUGAACCGUUAUAACCGGCGAUGUCCGAAUGGGGAAACCCAGUGCAAUUCGUUGCACUAUCGUUAACUGAAUACAUAGGUUAACGAGGCGAACCGGGGGAACUGAAACAUCUAAGUACCCCGAGGAAAAGAAAUCAACCGAGAUUCCCCCAGUAGCGGCGAGCGAACGGGGAGCAGCCCAGAGUCUGAAUCAGCUUGUGUGUUAGUGGAACGGUCUGGAAAGUCCGACGGUACAGGGUGAUAGUCCCGUACACCAAAAUGCACAGGUUGUGAACUCGAAGAGUAGGGCGGGACACGUGGUAUCCUGUCUGAAUAUGGGGGGACCAUCCUCCAAGGCUAAAUACUCCUGACUGACCGAUAGUGAACCAGUACCGUGAGGGAAAGGCGAAAAGAACCCCGGCGAGGGGAGUGAAAAAGAACCUGAAACCGUGUACGUACAAGCAGUGGGAGCACCUUCGGGUGUGACUGCGUACCUUUUGUAUAAUGGGUCAGCGACUUAUAUUCUGUAGCAAGGUUAACCGUAUAGGGGAGCCGCAGGGAAACCGAGUCUUAACUGGGCGUUAAGUUGCAGGGUAUAGACCCGAAACCCGGUGAUCUAGCCAUGGGCAGGUUGAAGGUUGGGUAACACUAACUGGAGGACCGAACCGACUAAUGUUGAAAAAUUAGCGGAUGACUUGUGGCUGGGGGUGAAAGGCCAAUCAAACCGGGAGAUAGCUGGUUCUCCCCGAAAGCUAUUUAGGUAGCGCCUCGUGAACUCAUCUUCGGGGGUAGAGCACUGUUUCGGCUAGGGGGUCAUCCCGACUUACCAACCCGAUGCAAACUACGAAUACCGAAGAAUGUUAUCACGGGAGACACACGGCGGGUGCUAACGUCCGUCGUGAAGAGGGAAACAACCCAGACCGCCAGCUAAGGUCCCAAAGUCAUGGUUAAGUGGGAAACGAUGUGGGAAGGCACAGACAGCCAGGAUGUUGGCUUAGAAGCAGCCAUCAUUUAAAGAAAGCGUAAUAGCUCACUGGUCGAGUCGGCCUGCGCGGAAGAUGUAACGGGGCUAAACCAUGCACCGAAGCUGCGGCAGCGACACUAUGUGUUGUUGGGUAGGGGAGCGUUCUGUAAGCCUGCGAAGGUGACCUGUGAGGGUUGCUGGAGGUAUCAGAAGUGCGAAUGCUGACAUAAGUAACGAUAAAGCGGGUGAAAAGCCCGCUCGCCGGAAGACCAAGGGUUCCUGUCCAACGUUAAUCGGGGCAGGGUGAGUCGACCCCUAAGGCGAGGCCGAAAGGCGUAGUCGAUGGGAAACAGGUUAAUAUUCCUGUACUUGGUGUUACUGCGAAGGGGGGACGGAGAAGGCUAUGUUAGCCGGGCGACGGUUGUCCCGGUUUAAGCAUGUAGGCUGGUUGUCCAGGCAAAUCCGGAUAAUCAAGGCUGAGGUGUGAUGACGAGGCACUACGGUGCUGAAGUAACAAAUGCCCUGCUUCCAGG